AGUGAACGCUGGCGGUAGGCCUAACACAUGCAAGUCGAACGGCAGCACAGUAAGAGCUUGCUCUUACGGGUGGCGAGUGGCGGACGGGUGAGGAAUACAUCGGAAUCUACUUUUUCGGGGGGGAUAACGUAGGGAAACUUACGCUAAUACCGCAUAUGACCUACGGGUGAAAGCAGGGGAUCUUCGGACCUUGCGCGAUUGAAUGAGCCGAUGUCGGAUUAGCUAGUUGGCGGGGUAAAGGCCCACCAAGGCGACGAUCCGUAGCUGGUCUGAGAGGAUGGUCAGCCACACGAGAACUGAGACACGGUCCAGACUCCUGCGGGAGGCAGCAGUGGGGAAUAUUGGACAAUGGGCGCAAGCCUGAUCCAGCCAUACCGCGUGGGUGAAGAAGGCCUUCGGGUUGUAAAGCCCUUUUGUUGGGAAAGAAAAGCAGCAGGUUAAUACCCCGCUGUUCUGACGGUACCCAAAGAAUAAGCACCGGCUAACUUCGUG
rnacentral:rRNA from 1 species